rnacentral:rRNA from 1 species
CGUGUAGGCGGCCUGGAAGGUCCGUUGUGAAAACUCGAGGCUUAACCUCGAGACGUCGAUGGAAACCGUCAGGCUAGAGUCCGGAAGAGGAGAGUGGAAUUCCUGGUGUAGCGGUGAAAUGCGCAGAUAUCAGGAAGAACACCCGUGGCGAAGGCGGCUCUCUGGGACGGUACUGACGCUGAGACGCGAAAGCGUGGGGAGCGAACA